rnacentral:rRNA from 1 species
CAGUCGCCGCGGUAAUAUGUAGGGUGCGAGCGUCAAUCGGAAUUACUGGGCGUAAAGCGUGCGCAGGCGGCUUUGCAAGACAGAUGUGAAAUCCCCGGGCUCAACCUGGGAACUGCAUUUGUGACUGCAAGGCUAGAGUGCGGCAGAGGGAGAUGGAAUUCCGCGUGUAGCAGUGAAAUGCGUAGAUAUGCGGAGGAACACCGAUGGCGAAGGCAAUCUCCUGGGCCUGCACUGACGCUCAUGCACGAAAGCGUGGGGAGCAAACAGGAUUAGAUACCCCAGUAGUCCCUGUCUCUUAUAC